AUAGCAAUUGCGUCCGACGAUGAGGACGAUAAGUUUUUGGACUGACGACAAUCUGGUGCGACGACGACAAGACAAAAUGGCGACGAAGAUUUGGCACAAUUUUUAAGGACAAUGGCAGAUUGCGAGCUUUGGCGACGGAGGGCAAUGGCGAUGGCGAUGGCGAUGAUCGAAACAGAUUUCGAGGCUGAGUUGGAGGCUCUGGUGGUGUCGAUGAUGAAGACGACGACGACGACGACGCAGGAGGAUCUAUGGGUCACGAGCUGCGCGGUGACAGUGUUUGUUUUGUUGUAGGGGGCUCGAAUUCUGUCGUAACAGGUGGUUGUGGAGAAGAAUUUCAAGUUGUUUGUUCAAGUUGUGAGUGAGUGAGUGAGUGAGUCCAUGGUUACCUAUCAACAAGCGUGUUGACAUUCUGUGUUCGCCGACGCUCGUUGGCUCGUUUUUUGUGAGGCGGCACUUGGGGUACAAACGUGUAGGUGUGGAGCUUUUAUCCUUUCUUCUUGCAAUUCCGCGUGGAUGGCCGAGUUUUUCACAUACUUUUACCACCGAGAGUAAGAAUUGGUGUGUGUGUGUGUGUGUAUAUAUAUGUUUUCAAAUUUUGUCUUGCUUUUCGAAGCCAUCGUUAAAGUUUUUGAUGCUAAUGAAACAACCUGCUUCAGAUUGAGCGACCUGUGCGCCUUCCGUUGUGGCAAUUUAGAGUUUUGAGAGAUGGGUUAUCAGUGCAGUUAUGUUUGAGGGAAUGCUGUUCGUCUUGAUGGUUAGCGUUUCGAUGAUUUGGAUGUGGAAGAGUGUAUAUGAUUUGCCCUUCUUGGAUGGCUGUUUUUAGGGUAACGUGGAGAGGUAUACUGAAGCAGAGUGGGCACAUCCUUGUACUUCUGUAUCAGUGAGGAAUGGUUGGAUUCCUUACAGUUAGUUCGAAGAUUAUGAUGCCCAAAGGAUUGACGAAUUUGGUCUGGGCUUUUAUGUGAACUUACUCGAUGCAGCCUUCGGGUUACUUCAGGAGCAGAAGAUGAAUUUGAAGUAGUAGGGCCUGCUAGCUACGUAGACGAGGGUGACAAUGCUGAGAUACAAUUGUUCCAGUGGUUUCAGUAAUAUUGCGUAUCUUGUUGCCCUUGCCCAUACUAGGAAUGAUUUCCCCUACAGCCCUAACUGUCGCAAUUGCUUUUAUAAAGUGAUUACCAUCACACUUGGAUUUCCUUCUAACUUUACUUUUGGGCCUCUAAUUAGAAUGUCGUAAAACAUUGUCGAUUUGACUGUGAGGAGUUCUCAUUGUCGGUGACGUUGCUGGUAGAGUUUCUUUUCGAAUUUGCUUUCAAUUGCUUGUGUGACGUAUGUGUAUGCAGGACCUAAAAAGAAUCAUGUUUUUGUACGUGGAGUUUUUGUAGUUGACAGAUUUUACUCAUGUUGGCUCGUGCAAAUUGUUGAGGAAUGCACUAUUCUGAUGUGGGCUUUUUCAUCCUAUUUGAUGUGGUCUUGUCUAAUUUAUUUCUUACUUGCAGGGCAUCACAGCAGUGUUGAAUUCUCAGUGCAAAAACAAGAAGGUGAACUGGGCAGUCAACGGCCAAUGAAUUGAUGAAAUGACUUGGCAGAAGGGUUUCCAAGCGGUCGAUAUGCUAAGCAGGAUGUGAGUCUUCCACAAGCCUACGUUUAUUUCACCGUUCCGGUUCGGAUGGAUGCUCUGCCUAUCCUUAUUAUUGGAGGAUAGUUGGAAUAUAUUGAGUUCUGAACCAAAAAACGAGUAUGGAGGGUUCAAUAUUAAAUUAUGUUCUGUUGACCAGGACAUGGAGUUUUACUAGCUACAAGCCUCCUUUUGAGAGCCUAGUUAACCUACCAAUUUAAGUGUCUGUGGUAGAUUUACAGAUUUCAAAUCUGCGCCCUCCUUAGCAGCCGAAAAACCAUCUUGUUGAUUGGAUAUGGCUAAUAGAUCAGUCUUAGUGUAAGCAACUUAGGACCUCUUUGGGAUGGUUGAGGAGGGUAAAUACAAAAGUCUUUCAACCUACUCUGUUCAGUUUGUUUGCAAUCAUGGGUGCAAGCUGGUAAUCAGGCUUUACCAGCUUGCAAUAUCAUUAGCAGUUCAUUGUGAACCGUAAAUUUCGCUUUGUGACGUCAAAGGAAGAUUUCACUUCUUUGGGUGUAUGACCUAGUGUUAAUAACCAACGUCAGAGAAACUUGCUUGGCUAUUGGAAUUGUGUGCAAGGGGAGGAAGUGCGAACGACAGCGAAAUCCUCAUCAGAUUAGACAAAGCCCUUAUAGACAAGUCAUGCCAGUGGAAUCAGCGUACCCUUUCUCAGGGCUGGUGAACUUCCUGCAUGCUGUAUAAGAAGCUGCCAUAUAGUUACAUCACAAAAAAGCCGUAGUAAAAUUUUCUUUAACCGUCUGUUGUCUGUUCCAUGGAUUCGUAAUGCUGAUAUGGGAUUCAUUUAGCUGAUGGUUUAUGGGUGCUAUUGCUGGUACAUGUGCAAAUUCUUUGUGGAAGGCUGUUGGUGUUAUUUUCACUAUCCACCAGCUGAUACGGAUCACUGGGACAAUACCAACAACGAGAUCUGUUAUGAAGGCAUUCUGAUCAAUUGUCCCUAGAUGCAUUUUCAUGUUAGUUUUAAUCUCUGAGAGUAAAAUAAAUUAACGGUUUUGUUUCUGAUGAAUGCUAUGUCUAUUUGUUCAGUGUUGUACAGGUUUACUGAUGUAAAUAUUCACUCUAUCACGUCGUCUUUCUACAGGCCGACGGAGGUGCUCAUUCCAGGACUGUCCUACCAUCCUCUUUUUACCAAUAAGACUCAAUCACAUGACAACUUGCUGGUAAGAUUUAAUUUUGCCUCACUUUUCAUGGUUAUCAGCUGACGGCUGCUACAUACACGUGUUCAAUAAAUAAAGUCACCUCACCAACCAGUUGGUGGUCUAUUGUCAAAAUAUAUGUGUAUAUAACCUUCAAUUA